ensembl:ncRNA T06G6.15 ncRNA
UUUUUCGAUCCCAGUAAGUGCGCCAGCACUCGCCUUGGCGCGUUUCUCGACGAGAACCAGCGAGAGAGUGCGGGGAGACAUUGAGACGCAGAGAUUUUUAAUGGAAAAUCGCAGGAAGUAGCUGAAAAUCCCUGAAAAUUCAAUUUUUU